rnacentral:rRNA from 1 species
CGGACGGGUGAGUAACACGUGGAUAACCUACCUAUAAGACUGGGAUAACUUCGGGAAACCGGAGCUAAUACCGGAUAAUAUAUUGAACCGCAUGGUUCAAUGUGAAAGACGGUUUUGCUGUCACUUAUAGAUGGAUCCGCGCCGCAUUAGCUAGUUGGUAAGGUAACGGCUUACCAAGGCAACGAUGCGUAGCCGACCUGAGAGGGUGAUCGGCCACACUGGAACUGAGACACGGUCCAGACUCCUACGGGAGGCAGCAGAG